CGAACGGAACUACUCCGAUGAGAAUCUUCGGAAAGGAUUUGGUUUAGUUUAGUGGCGGACGGGUGAGUAACGCGUGGGUAACCUGCCCUAUACAGGGGGAUAACAGUUGGAAACGACUGUUAAUACCGCAUAAGCGCACAGGAGCGCAUGCUCCGGUGUGAAAAACUCCGGUGGUAUAGGAUGGACCCGCGUCUGAUUAGCUGGUUGGCGGGGUAACGGCCCACCAAGGCGACGAUUAGUAGCCGGCCUGAGAGGGUGAACGGCCACAUUGGGACUGAGACACGGCCCAAACUCCUACGGGAGGCAGCAGUGGGGAAUAUUGCACAAUGGGGGGAACCCUGAUGCAGCGACGCCGCGUGAGCGAAGAAGUAUUUCGGUAUGUAAAGCUCUAUCAGCAGGGAAGAAAAUGACGGUACCUGACUAAGAAGCCCCGGCUAACUACGUGCCAGCAGCCGCGGUAAUACGUAGGGGGCAAGCGUUAUCCGGAUUUACUGGGUGUAAAGGGAGCGCAGGCGGCGCGGUAAGUCUGAUGUGAAAGCCCGGGGCUCAACCCCGGGACUGCAUUGGAAACUGUCGUGCUGGAGUGUCGGAGGGGCAAGUGGAAUUCCUAGUGUAGCGGUGAAAUGCGUAGAUAUUAGGAGGAACACCAGUGGCGAAGGCGGCUUGCUGGACGACAACUGACGCUGAGGCUCGAAAGCGUGGG
rnacentral:rRNA from 1 species